CCUACGGGUGACAGCAGUGAGGAAUAUUGGUCAAUGGACGAGAGUCUGAACCAGCCAAGUAGCGUGAAGGAUGACUGCCCUAUGGGUUGUAAACUUCUUUUAUAUGGGAAUAAAAUGUUCCACGUGUGGGAUUUUGUAUGUACCAUAUGAAUAAGGAUCGGCUAACUCCGUGCCAGCAGCCGCGGUAAUACGGAGGAUCCGAGCGUUAUCCGGAUUUAUUGGGGUUAAAGGGAGCGUAGGUGGAUUGUUAAGUCAGUUGUGAAAGUUUGCGGCUCAACCGUAAAAUUGCAGUUGAAACUGGCAGUCUUGAGUGCAGUAGAGGUGGGCGGAAUUCGUGGUGUAGCGGUGAAAUGCUUAGAUAUCACGAAGAACUCCGAUUGCGAAGGCAGCUCACUGGACUGCAACUGACACUGAGGCUCGAAAGUGUGGGUAGCAAACAGGAUUAGAUACCCCGGUAGUC
rnacentral:rRNA from 1 species